rnacentral:rRNA from 1 species
GAUCCUGGCUCAGGACGAACGCUGGCGGCGUGCCUAAUACAUGCAAGUAUAACGCUGAAGGAGGAGCUUGCUUCUCUGGAUGAGUUGCGAACGGGUGAGUAACGCGUAGGUAACCUGCCUGGUANCGGGGGAUAACUAUUGGAAACGAUAGCUAAUACCGCAUAAGAGUAGAUGUUGCAUGACAUUUGCUUAAAAGGUGCAAUUGCAUCACUACCAGAUGG